UACCUACGGGAGGCAGCAGUGGGGAAUAUUGCACAAUGGGGGAAACCCUGAUGCAGCAACGCCGCGUGAAGGAAGACGGUUUUCGGAUUGUAAACUUCUGUUCUUAGUGAAGAAAAAUGACGGUAGCUAAGGAGCAAGCCACGGCUAACUACGUGCCAGCAGCCGCGGUAAUACGUAGGUGGCAAGCGUUGUCCGGAAUUACUGGGUGUAAAGGGAGCGCAGGCGGGAAGCCAAGUCUGAAGGGAAAGCCCGUGGCUUAACCACGGGA
rnacentral:rRNA from 1 species